CGUACCGUGGGCGGGGCAACCAGGGUGGUUGCCCCGGGCGCAAAAUUCUGGACUGGUGGAAGGGACUCGGGGGGUGCUAACGGUCCACUGGUUAGGGGACGCAAUACUUGCCUUGCCCUGGACGCUGGCAACCCACGCUACGACACUGACAAGUUCAUAGCGUUUGAAGUGUUACCAGGCAACGCGGCUCGUCUAUGUAGAAGUAUCAAAGAGAGCGGAUUUGGGGACCAAGUUACAUUGAUACAUAACGGACUGUCUGACAAAAAGACUUUGAUGGAAAUCGUUCAUAAUGAAGGCGUUGAAGGAAUCUCUGAACCCCGAGAAGAACACGUUCUUCUCCAUCUAAUUGGAUGAACUGCUGGAGUUGCUGCAAGUGAAACGCGUCGUCAUGAAGAUCGACGUAGAGAGACACGAGGCCAAGAUUCUGGAAAAGGCUGACGAAUUCUUCAGGAAAGUAGACGUCACGUGCGUUAUGAUGGAAUGGGAAUGUCACCCCAGGAAGCCGAAUGCAUAUCAAAUGAUGGUCUUCAUGGCCAGACAUCAUAUGUUGGCCUUUGACCCCCAGGACAUGAGCAAGUCGCAGGAUGCUUACACCUUCGACAUAUAGCCCCGAAACGUCCUGUGGCGAAAAGUUCGUGAUUGUGGACUUUGGACGGACUGAACUCCUAACAUUAAUAGUUUAUUUAUGUGUGUGCGUGCGUGAAUAUGGCUUUUUUUUUUUUUUUUUUUUCUUUUUUUUACAGUUUUCAUAUUAUCGGACAAAACUGAUCAAUAGUAUUUCUUCUUUGAACUGAUUUGGAUAUAUAGCUCAGCACACUGCUUUCGUCGAACUAUAAAAUCUGCACGUAGUAGAGACUCACGUAAAUACAAAUACACCGGUCAUCUGUGGCGUAGUGGUUAGGUCAUCUGUUAUCUUCCAACACCACACGUUGAUAAUAGCAGAUUGUGGCACGACAGCAUUGCCAUUUCAGGGCGGUAGCUAGGAUUGUGUGUUUGGAGGGGGGGGGGGGGGGCAACUGAGUAGUUAAUAGUCUAAAACUCCUUAAACAGUUAAGAAGAGAAUUUUCUUUAAGUUUCUAUAAUGCUUCUGGAGGGGG